UACGAAGGGGGGCUAGCGUUGCUCGGAAUGACUGGGCGUAAAGGGCGCGUAGGCGGACGGCUUUGUCGGGCGUGAAAUUCCAGGGCUUAACCUUGGGGGCUGCGUUCGAGACGGGUUGUCUAGAGUUUGGAAGAGGGUCGUGGAAUUCCCAGUGUAGAGGUGAAAUUCGUAGAUAUUGGGGAAGAACACCGGUGGCGAAGGCGGCGACCUGGUCCUUGACUGACGCUGAGGCGCGAAAGCGUGGGGGAGCAAACAGG
rnacentral:rRNA from 1 species